UACGAAGGGGGCUAGCGUUGUUCGGAAUUACUGGGCGUAAAGCGCGCGCAGGCGGCUAUCCAAGUCAGUGGUGAAAGCCCGGAGCUCAACUCCGGAACUGCCAUUGAAACUGUUUAGCUGGAGUAUGAGAGAGGUGAGUGGAAUUCCCAGUGUAGAGGUGAAAUUCGUAGAUAUUGGGAAGAACACCGGUGGCGAAGGCGGCUCACUGGCUCAUUACUGACGCUGAGGAGCGAAAGCGUGGGGAGCAAACAGG
rnacentral:rRNA from 1 species